GUCCACGCCGUAAACGAUGAUCACUCGUUGUUCGCGAUACAUUGCGAGCGACCAAGAGAAAUCGAUAAGUGAUCCACCUGGGGAGUACGGCGGCAACGCUGAAACUCAAAGGAAUUGACGGGGGCCCCGCACAAGCGGAGGAACAUGUGGUUUAAUUCGAUGAUACGCGAGGAACCUUACCCGGGUUUAAAUGGGAGUGACAGGCUUGGAAACAGGCCCUUCUUCGGACACUCUUCAAGGUGCUGCAUGGUUGUCGU
rnacentral:rRNA from 1 species